rnacentral:lncRNA from 14 species
CCUUGGUCCUAUGUGAGUCCCAUGAGCUCUGGCACUCCGAUGCUGAUCAGCUCCGUGGUGCUGGCAGCUCCCACCGGCAGCUCAGUGCUGUUGCUGUUCAGAUGGGACUGGAAGAACACCAGCAUCGCUGCACCGAAUGGAGAAGAUCAGUCAGAGGGGCACAGUCAGGACCAUCGCUCUGUGGGCUCCCAGCAUUUCUUGCCUCUGCUCAAGAUGAGAGCAGCACUGCCCAUGUCCCCUGCCGUCAUCUCAAGCAAUUAACUUGAAGGGAGACAUCACUGCUAAUUGAGCAGUGAAGAUCAGGAGCAACAAUUACGCCUUUUGACAAGAGACAGCACAAGAGGGACUGCUCCGAGGCUGAGAAUGGUAGGGAACGGUUUCUAUGGCAAUAUAACUUUCCUCUCUUCCUCUCCAGCCAUAGAAAUGAUAAAAAUGUAGAUUUCUCCCUGAUUAAUGAUUUAAUGAAAAUAAAGAAUAUUCUUUUUUUUUCUUUAAAAAAGAA